AUCGACUAGCAUGCGAGUCAGGUGUCUUCGGACGCCGGAAACGGCUCAGUAACACGUAGGUAAUCUACCCUCAGGACUGAGAUAACCCCGGGAAACUGGGGCUAAUACCAGAUAGAUAAAAGAUACUGGAAUGUUCUUUUAUCCAAAGCUUUUGUGCCUGAGGAUGAGCCUGCGCCCGAUUAGGUAGUUGGUGGGGUAAUGGCCCACCAAGCCUGCGAUCGGUACGGGCAGUGGGAGCUGUAGCCCGGAGUUGGGGACUGAGACAAGGCCCCAGGCCCUACGGGGCGCAGCAGGCGCGAAACCUCUGCAUUGCGGGAAACCGUGACAGGGGGAUUCCAAGUGCUCAUGCAUUGCAUGGGCUGUUCUUUGGUCUAAGUAACCGGGGAGU
rnacentral:rRNA from 1 species